UCUAGCAUUUAUGACGGUUGUAAAUUGAUAUUAAUUAAAACGAUCGUUAAAAAUGUUAUUUAUGAGAUUGCAAAAGCAGACGAUAACACUUUUGAAGCGUUAUAUAGCAAUGGAGGUGUUUGUUUUAUUUUCUCUCAUGUUUAUACCCUUUAUUGUGAGUGUCGAUAAUCCUUCUACCAUGAUUAUUUCUCCAGAUGAAUUACUGCCAGAGGAAAAAUCAGUAAAUGAUACAAGAAAAUUGUCCAUACUUCGUUAUGGAUUCCACAGAACACACGAGUGCCAGAAUUUUAAACGAGCUUACCUUUGUGUACAGAAAUGUCUCGAU